AAGUCGUAACAAGGUUUCCGUAGGUGAACCUGCGGAAGGAUCAUUAACGAAUAACUAUGGUGGGCUGUCGCUGCCUCUUCGGAGGAAUGUGCACGUCCACCAUUUUUAUCUAUCCACCUGUGCACCGACUGUAGGUCUGGAUAACUCUCGUCUUCACCUCGCAAGGGGCUGUUGACGGAUGCGAGGAUUGCUCUCUCGGGCGCUCUCCUCGAAUUUCCAGGCCUACGUCUUUUACACACCCCAAAAGUAUGAUAUAGAAUGUAGUCAAUGGGCUUCUCAGCCUAUAAAACACUAUACAACUUUCAGCAACGGAUCUCUUGGCUCUC
rnacentral:misc_RNA from 1 species